GUCCCUCCAGCGUGUCCUGGGUCUUCCCCGUAGCCUCCUCCUGGUGGGACAUGCCUGGAACGCCUCCUGAGGGAGACGCCCAGGAAGCAUCCGGAAGAGAUGCCUGAACCACAUCAGCUGGCUCUGUGGAGGAGCAGCGGCUCUUGUCCGAGCUUCUCCUGUGUGACUGAGCUCCUCACCCUAUCUCUACGGGACCACCCAGUCACCCUGUGGAGGAAACUCAUUUCGACCACUUGUAUCCGUGAUCUUGUCCUUUCGGUCAUUACCCAAAGCUCAUGACCAUAGACGCUGCACCGAUCCACCUGUCUAUCUCAUGCUCCAUCCUCCCCUCACUUGUGAACAAGACCCAGAGAUACUUGAACUCCUCCUCUUGAGGCAGGGACUCUCCAACCACCCAGAGAGGGCAAGCCACCUUUUUCCGGUCAAGAACCAUGGUCUCGGAUUUAAAGCAGCCGAUCUUCAUCUUGUUUAGUUUUUAUUAUCAAUUUUUAGUCAUAGGUUUAGCCUACAAACGUUAAUUGCAUUUGUAUGCAUUAUACAAACUUUUUGUUUGUAUGGUUCAUGUUUUUAUUAUUUUUUGUUAACAUAACUUUGAUAAUAAUAAAAACAAUGACCAAAAUGUUGUAGUAGAUAAAAUAAAUACUGCUGUGUAGAUUGUA